rnacentral:rRNA from 1 species
GAUGAACGCUGGCGGCGUGCCUAAUACAUGCAAGUCGAGCGAAGCGGGGACAGGUGAGUAACACGUGGAUAACCUCAUAUAAGACUGGGAUAACUUCGGGAAACAGGAGCUAAACCGGGUACUUAUAGCUGGAUCCGCGAUGCAUUAUCUAGUUGGUAAGUGAACGGCGUACCAAGGCAACGAUGCAUAGCAGACCUGAGAGUGUGAUCGGCCACACUGGAACGGAGACACGGCCCAGACUCCAACGGGAGGCAGCAGUAGGGAAUCUUCCGAAAUGGGCGAAAUCCUGACGGAGAAACGCCGCGUGAGUGAUGAAGGUCUUCGGAUCUUAAAACUCUUUUAUUAGGGAAGCGGUACCUAAUCAGAAAGCCACGGCUAACUACGUGCCAGCAGCCGCGGUAAUUC